GCAUAUCAAUAAGCGGAGGAAAAGAAACUAACAAGGAUUCCCCUUAGUAACUGCGAAGUUGAAGCGGGAAAAGCUUCAAAUUUAAAAUCUGGCGGUCCUUGUGGCCGUCCGAGUUGUAAUUUAGAGAAGUGUUAUCCGCGCUGGACCGUGUACAAGUCUCCUGGAAUGGAGCGUCAUAGAGGGUGAGAAUCCCGUCUUUGACACGGACUGCCAGGGCAUUUGUGAUGCGCUCUCGAAGAGUCGAGUUGUUUGGGAAUGCAGCUCAAAAUGGGUGGUAAAUUCCAUCUAAAGCUAAAUAUUGGGGAGAGACCGAUAGCGAACAAGUACCGUGAGGGAAAGAUGAAAAGAACUUUGGAAAGAGAGUUAAACAGUACGUGAAAUUGCUGAAAGGGAAACGCUUGAAGUCAGUCGCGUCGUUCAGGACUCAGCCUUGCUUUGCUUGGUGUACUUCCUGUUCGACGGGUCAGCAUCAAUUUUGGUCGGUGGAUAAAGGCUCGGAGAAUGUGGCAUCUUCGGAUGUGUUAUAGCUCUGGGUCGCAUACAUCGGCUGGGAUUGAGGAACUCAGCACGCCGCAAGGCCGGGGACUUGUCCCACGUACGUGCUUAGGAUGCUGGCAUAAUGGCUUUAAUCGACCCGUCUUGAAACACGGACCAAGGAGUCUAACAUGCCUGCGAGUGUUUGGGUGGAAAACCCGAGCGCGUAAUGAAAGUGAAAGUUGAGAUCCCUGUCGUGGGGAGCAUCGACGCCCGGAGCAGACCUUUUGUGACGCAUCCGCGGUAGAGCAUGUAUGUUGGGACCCGAAAGAUGGUGAACUAUGCCUGAAUAGGGUGAAGCCAGAGGAAACUCUGGUGGAGGCUCGUAGCGAUUCUGACGUGCAAAUCGAUCGUCGAAUUUGGGUAUAGGGGGCGAAAGACUAAUCGAACCAUCUAGUAGCUGGUUCCUGCCGAA
rnacentral:rRNA from 1 species